rnacentral:lncRNA from 10 species
GCUCCAGAACUCAAUUGCAGAAGAGGGGCAAAGGGGGAAAAGGCAGCACGAUUUAUUAUCUUGUACAUGCCAGGGCAGGCCUUUAAUUUUGUCUUCAUGUUCUACACACAGAUUUGCUUCAUGAUUUCUGCUUAAAAGACCCACAACAUUAAGCGUUUCUGGGUGUGAAACUACACAGGCCUCUCUUAACCACAAAUUGAGAUGCCAAGCACAAAGAACCUGCUCAUUAAUAUCAGGGUGGAAGUAACCACAAAGAUAGUUGAGAAAAGCAGCAGACCACUACUACAGGCAUUAGAAAAGAGAAGAUCCAGGCCAGGCACGGUGGCUCAUGCCUGUAAUCAUAACACUCUGGGAGGCUGAGGUGGGCAGAUCACCUGAAGUCAGGGGUUCGAGACCAGCCUGGCCAACAGGGCAAAACCCCAUCUCUAGUAAAAAUACUAAAAUUAACUGGGCAUGGUGGCAGGUGCCAGUAAUCCCAGCUACUCAGGGCACUCCAGCCUGGGCAACAGAGUGAGACUCCAUCUCAAAAAAAAGAAAAGAAAAGAAAACAGAAGAUCCAGAAACAAUGAGCCCUCUAUUUCCAUAGAUAACUAGGAAGAGAAUAGCAGCCACUCACUUUAGACAGGACUGCUCACCACUGCCAAUUUUUCUCCUACGCUGGGGACAAAUGUCUUACCAUUUAUCAUCACACUUGCACUGUCAUUUUAUUAAAAAUGGAAAAAAAGAUACAUCU